rnacentral:rRNA from 1 species
UAGGGAAUCUUCCGCAAUGGACGAAAGCCUGACGGAGCAACGCCGCGUGAGUGAUGAAGGUCUUCGGAUCGUAAAACUCUGUUAUUAGGGAAGAACAAAUGUGUAAGUAACUAUGCACAUCUUGACGGUACCUAAUCAGAAAGCCACGCCUAACUACGUGCCAGCAGCCGCGGUAAUACGUAGGUGGCAAGCGUUAUCCGGAAUUAUUGGGCGUAAAGCGAGCGCAGGCGGUCAAUUAAGUCUGAUGUGAAAGCCCCCGGCUCAACCGGGGAGGCUCAUUGUAAACUGGUUUCGUUAAGGGACGAAGAGGAGGGUUGAAUUCCAUGUGUAGCGGUGAAAUUCGUAGAUAUAUGGAGGAACACCGGUGGCGAAAGCGGCUCUCUGGUCUGUAACUGACGCUGAGGCUCCAAAGCGUGGGGAGCCAACAGG